rnacentral:rRNA from 1 species
CCAGUAACGGCGAGUGAAGCGGCAAGAGCUCAAAUUUGAAAUCUGGCCUCCCCCGGGGGUCCGAGUUGUAAUUUGCAGAGGAUGCUUCGGGCGCGGCCCCCGUCUAAGUUCCUUGGAACAGGACGUCAGAGAGGGUGAGAAUCCCGUCUUGGGCGGGCGGCCCGCGCCCGUGUGAAGCUCCUUCGACGAGUCGAGUUGUUUGGGAAUGCAGCUCUAAGCGGGUGGUAAAUUUCAUCUAAAGCUAAAUACCGGCCGGAGACCGAUAGCGCACAAGUAGAGUGAUCGAAAGGUUAAAAGCACCUUGAAAAGGGAGUUAAACAGCACGUGAAAUUGUUGAAAGGGAAGCGCUUGCGGCCAGACUCGGGGGGCGGGGUUCAGCGGGCGCUCGUCGCCCGUGCACUGCCCGCUCCCCGGGCCAGCAUCAGCUUCGACGGCCGGUCAAAGGCCCCCGGAAUGUGUCGUCUCUAGGGACGUCUUAUAGCCGGGGGUGCAAUGCGGCCCGUCGAGACUGAGGAACGCGCUCCGGCUCGGAUGCUG